AGCAGGCGCGCAAAUUACCCAAUCCCGACACGGGGAGGUAGUGACAAUAAAUAACAAUACGGGGUUCUUUNGGAUCUCGUAAUUGGAAUGAGUACAAUUUAAAUCUCUUAACGAGGAACAAUUGGAGGGCAAGUCUGGUGCCAGCAGCCGCGGUAAUUCCAGCUCCAAUAGCGUAUAUUAAGUUGUUGCAGUUAAAAAGCUCGUAGUUGAAUUUCGGGGUUAGNAGGUUGGUCAUGCCUCUGGUAUGUACUGGUCUCACUGAUUCCUCCUUCCUGAUGAACCGUAAUGCCAUUAAUUUGGUGUUGCGGGGAAUUUGGACUGUUACUUUGAAAAAAUUAGAGUGUUUAAAGCAAGCUAACGCUUGAAUACAUUAGCAUGGAAUAAUGAAAUAGGACGUUCGAUCCUAUUUUGUUGGUUUCUAGGAUUGACGUAAUGAUUAAUAGGGAUAGUUGGGGGCAUUAGUAUUCAAUUGUCAGAGGUGAAAUUCUUGGAUUUAUUGAAGACUAACUACUGCGAAAGCAUUUGCCAAGGAUGUUUUCAUUAAUCAAGAACGAAAGUUAGGGGAUCGAAGACGAUCAGAUACCGUCGUAGUCUUAACCAUAAACUAUGCCGACUAGGGAUCGGAUGAUGUUAAUUUUUUAAUGACUCAUUCGGCGCCUUACGGGAAACCAAAGUGUUUGGGUUCA
rnacentral:rRNA from 1 species